CCUACGGGAGGCAGCAGUGGGGAAUAUUGCACAAUGGGGGAAACCCUGAUGCAGCGACGCCGCGUGAGUGAAGAAGUAAUUCGUUACGUAAAGCUCUAUCAGCAGGGAAGAAACACUGACCUUACGGUCAGCAGACGGUACCUGAGUAAGAAGUCCCGGCUAACUACGUGCCAGCAGCCGCGGUAAUACGUAGGGGGCAAGCGUUAUCCGGAUUUACUGGGUGUAAAGGGGGCGUAGACGGUGCGCCAAGUCUGGAGUGAAAUGCCGCAGCUUAACUGCGGAACUGCUUUGGAAACUGGCGAACUAGAGUGCGGGAGGGGUAAGCGGAAUUCCUAGUGUAGCGGUGAAAUGCGUAGAUAUUAGGAGGAACACCGGUGGCGAAGGCGGCUUACUGGACCGUAACUGACGUUGAGGCUCGAAAGCGUGGGGAGCAAACAGGAUUAGAUACCCCAGUAGUC
rnacentral:rRNA from 1 species